UCCUUCUCUGGGUGGAUGAACAGCAGAAAAAAGCAAAAGAAAAGAAGAUUUGGCAUCAUGUUGUAAAUGAUAAACUAAGGCACACUGACUUGCUUUCCACUGAGGAAAGUAAGAGAAAUCCUCAGGAAACACAAGCUUAAAACUGCUUUUAAUGAUUUGUGUGUUCCCCAGAAGAUUUGAUUCAAGCUAAGGUUUGCUUCUCUUCUUUAACAUUUAACAGCCAGCUGAAACAUAGUUUGCAGUUUCAAAGAAAGCUAAGAGGAAGAUUGAUGACUUAAGCCCUGGCUUGGAAUGUGGACUUUUUUCUAAAAUGCUUCACUCUGUGUAGUUAUUUCCAUUUCAAAAGGAUUUUUUUACAGGACAGGUACUUAUAAAUAAUUCUGAAAUAUCAUAACAAUAAAAAUUGUGGGAAUGGGAUGAGCUUGAGAGCAAUGAAAGAACUUUUAUGAAUUGUCAAAUCAAAGGAAGAAAUAGGGGUGGCUUGGUUAUUUCAGAGACAAGACAGGUCUUGAAACAGAUAACCCAGAUUCUAAAGUCUAGAAAAGCCUUCUAUAUACUCCACAUAAUUGGUACUUCUAUAUAUAUAUUUCUAUAUGAGGUUAUUCAGAUUAAAAUUGCUUCCUAUCCUAUCAAGCAAACCCUAUCAAACUAUUUUUCCAUUAUGAAAUGUGAAAUGUGAAAAUACCAAAGACUAGAAAUGAAAAUAUCAAAGAAUAGAAUAGAAUAGAAUAGAAUAGAAUAGAAUAGAAUAGAAUAGAAUAGAAUAGAAUAGAAUAGAAUAGAAUAGAAUAGAAUAUCAGUAUAAAUCAUAAGGAUACAAGCAACAAAUUUACAGUCAUAAGUAGAAGGAGAUGUGUGAUGGGAAUGAUGAGAAGAUUAAUAGUAGUGCAGAUUUAGUAAAUAGUUUGACAACGUUGAGGGGAUUAUUUGUUUGGCAGAGUGAUGCCGUUUGGGAAAAACCUGUUCUGGUGUCUAGUUGUUCUAGUGUGCAGUGCUCUAUAGCGUCGUUUUGAGGGUAGGAGUUGAAACAGUUUAUGUCCUGGAUGUGAGGGAUCUGUAAAUAUUUUCACGGCCCUCUUCUUCAUUCGUGCAGUAUACAGGUCCUCAAUGGAAGGCAGAUCAAGGGUCUCCAACCUUAGUAACUUUAAGGUUUGUGGACUUCAAUUCCCAGAGUUCCUCAUUCAGCAAAGCAGGCAGUCAAAGCAGGCUGUAAUCAGUAGCUGAAGGAAAGCAUGGUGUUGCCAACCCGAAAGGAGCAGUAAUUAUAGGACUGACGUCCUUGCUGCAGGAGGGCCGAAUGUCAGCCUCCACUCCAAUCUUCGCAUAAUUUUUGUACAAUUUAUAUUCAGUAGAUAGAAUGUAAAAUGCUUCUUUCUGUAAUGUAAAAUAGUUAAGGAAAUGAGAUGUAUCAUUGCACCAUACAGGGUAAGGGAAAGGGGCCUUUUAAGAGUGUCGGCUGACAUAACAGUGGGGGAGGGGUGAUUAACGGCUGAAUGUUAAGAGGCUUUUCCAACAGAUACUGCAUUCCUAAGAUGAUUGACAGCUAGAGACCGGCAGAGGAAGAUUACCACGGGGGGC